rnacentral:rRNA from 1 species
UACAGAGGUCUCAAGCGUUGUUCGGAUUCAUUGGGCGUAAAGGGUGCGUAGGCGGCGCGGUAAGUCGGGUGUGAAAUCUCGGAGCUUAACUCCGAAACUGCAUUCGAUACUGCCGUGCUUGAGGACUGGAGAGGAGACUGGAAUUUACGGUGUAGCGGUGAAAUGCGUAGAUAUCGUAAGGAAGACCAGUGGCGAAGGCGGGUCUCUGGACAGUUCCUGACGCUGAGGAACGAAGGUCAGGGGAGCAAACGGG